rnacentral:rRNA from 1 species
UGCAGUCGAACGGUGAAGCCAAGCUUGCUUGGUGGAUCAGUGGCGAACGGGUGAGUAACACGUGAGCAACCUGCCCUGGACUCUGGGAUAAGCGCUGGAAACGGCGUCUAAUACUGGAUAUGAGCUCCUUCCGCAUGGUGGGGGUUGGAAAGAUUUUUCGGUCUGGGAUGGGCUCGCGGCCUAUCAGCUUGUUGGUGAGGUAAUGGCUCACCAAGGCGUCGACGGGUAGCCGGCCUGAGAGGGUGACCGGCCACACUGGGACUGAGACACGGCCCAGACUCCUACGGGAGGCAGCAGUGGGGAAUAUUGCACAAUGGGCGGAAGCCUGAUGCAGCAACGCCGCGUGAGGGAUGACGGCCUUCGGGUUGUAAACCUCUUUUAGCAGGGAAGAAGCGAAAGUGACGGUACCUGCAGAAAAAGCGCCGGCUAACUACGUGCCAGCAGCCGCGGUAAUACGUAGGGCGCAAGCGUUAUCCGGAAUUAUUGGGCGUAAAGAGCUCGUAGGCGGUUUGUCGCGUCUGCUGUGAAAUCCCGAGGCUCAACCUCGGGCCUGCAGUGGGUACGGGCAGACUAGAGUGCGGUAGGGGAGAUUGGAAUUCCUGGUGUAGCGGUGGAAUGCGCAGAUAUCAGGAGGAACACCGAUGGCGAAGGCAGAUCUCUGGGCCGUAACUGACGCUGAGGAGCGAAAGGGUGGGGAGCAAACAGGCUUAGAUACCCUGGUAGUCCACCCCGUAAACGUUGGGAACUAGUUGUGGGGACCAUUCCACGGUUUCCGUGACGCAGCUAACGCAUUAAGUUCCCCGCCUGGGGAGUACGGCCGCAAGGCUAAAACUCAAAGGAAUUGACGGGGACCCGCACAAGCGGCGGAGCAUGCGGAUUAAUUCGAUGCAACGCGAAGAACCUUACCAAGGCUUGACAUAUACGAGAACGGGCCAGAAAUGGUCAACUCUUUGGACACUCGUAAACAGGUGGUGCAUGGUUGUCGUCAGCUCGUGUCGUGAGAUGUUGGGUUAAGUCCCGCAACGAGCGCAACCCUCGUUCUAUGUUGCCAGCACGUAAUGGUGGGAACUCAUGGGAUACUGCCGGGGUCAACUCGGAGGAAGGUGGGGAUGACGUCAAAUCAUCAUGCCCCUUAUGUCUUGGGCUUCACGCAUGCUACAAUGGCCGGUACAAAGGGCUGCAAUACCGUAAGGUGGAGCGAAUCCCAAAAAGCCGGUCCCAGUUCGGAUUGAGGUCUGCAACUCGACCUCAUGAAGUCGGAGUCGCUAGUAAUCGCAGAUCAGCAACGCUGCGGUGAAUACGUUCCCGGGUCUUGUACACACCGCCCGUCAAGUCAUGAAAGUCGGUAACACCUGAAGCCGG